rnacentral:lncRNA from 1 species
AAUUUAUUUUGCUGUGAAACACGGUGUCUACAGGUCCUGAAAAAUCUUUAAAUGUCUCAUUUUGUAUUAAGAAUAUUCCAUAAAAGUCAUUUAGUUGUCUUAAGUUCUUGAUAGUUACUUGCAUGCGCCCUUCAGUGUCAAAGUCCACAUUUCUGAUUACAAAUCUUUAAACCAGUGCUUCCCUCUAGUGGGCCCCUGGAAUCACAACACUCACUCGUCACCAUUGUCCUACAUAAUCACUGCAGGGAACUACAUUUUGUAUAUACUUCUUACCUUCAUACAUAUCUGCAGUGCUUGGAUAAGAACAAGAUGAGAUGUCUGCUACCUGUAGACACCCUGUGGAAAGAACAGCAGCAGUCAGUAUCACAAUGUUUUGCAUUUGAAAAGUUUCAUUUCUGCCUUUAAUCUUUGUCUUUAUUGAUUACUGAGUGUUCAGUUCAGAGAAGAAACCACACGAUUGCACAACGUUCUGGCAUCAGUGGCUGGAAACUGUCAGAUGAGAUUUCAGAGUGUGAAAAAAGUGACUGCAAAGAUAUUUUCUUACACAGUAAUAUUAAGAAGCCUGCAAGGGAAUUAAUGUGGCUGUGACGGAGACGUUCGAUUUUAAUUGAUGAUGACAAAGCACAUGAAUGUGUAGUCGCGGUUUGUCAGACAUGUUUACAAGUUUUUUUUUUACAUCUGUGUGUGGUUAAAAUCAUGAUUGUUAUCAGAGUAUCCAGCUGAACAACUGUUGUCUUUAGUAACAAAAAUAAACAAGUCACGGUUUAUGUGGAAAACUACGGCAUGUCUCGUGUCUUUUAUGUUCUACUUAAGAUUGUAAUUGCAAAUUGCUGUACCUUCUUGCUCAGGUGGAUCAGCUGUACCUGGUGUGAACAGACAGAUAGUUCUUUGUAAAUUUGGCAUGAAAUCUACUUUAAAUUAAUUCAUUUUUAAAAACGGAACGAAACCUGGACAGCAAACGGUUAGGUCUUCUUUGUUCUUUUUAAUUGUGAUUUUACAGACAGUCCUUUAUUUUACAUUUAAAAAUAAAGAAAUGUUAAUGUUUAAAGUUAAGAUGCUGUCAGAAAUCCCCCUUUUUUACUGUCUCUUAAAUCUAAUUACAUCUUUUUCUUUUUGUAACUU